UGGUUCGCUCCGGGAUCAGAACCGUGGACCUUUCAGCGUGUAAAGCGAAUGUGAUAACCACUACACUACGGAACC